GCCGCGGUAAAACCAGCACCUCAAGUGGUCAGGAUGAUUAUUGGGCCUAAAGCAUCCGUAGCCCGCUUUGUAAGUUUUCGGUUAAAUCCAUGUGCUCAACGCAUGGGCUGCCGAAAAUACUGCAUCGCUAGGGAGUGGGAGAGGUAGACGGUACUCGGUAGGAAGGGGUAAAAUCCUUUGAUCUAUUGAUGACCACCUGUGGCGAAGGCGGUCUACCAGAACACGUUCGACGGUGAGGGAUGAAAGCUGGGGGAGCAAACCGGAUUAGAUACCCGGGUAGUCCCAGCUGUAAACGAUGCAGACUCGAUGAUGCAUUGGCAUAAUAGCCAGUGCAGUGUCGCAGGGAAGCCGUUAAGUCUGCCGCCUGGGAAGUACGUACGCAAGUAUGAAACUUAAAGGAAUUGGCGGGGGAGCA
rnacentral:rRNA from 1 species